rnacentral:tRNA from 1 species
GGGGAGGUAGCUCCAUGGGUAGGAGCACUUGCUUUGCAAGCAAGUGGUCCUGAGUUGGAAUCCCAGCACCUACU